GGAACUAUGAAGCACCCUUUUGGUAUUGGGCUUUGCGAUACCAAUAGAGACGAUGUGGAAGAAAACAAGCUCGCUUCCCUCAUUUCCCUCAGCGUCAAGUGAAACACGCAGGCCUGAACAGACCUUCGGUAGCAGCAGCUGAGGAAGAAAGCAAAGGCAGCAUCACCACUCCCUCUCUGCUGCUACAGUCACCCUGAGCCAGGGACCUGCAGUUGUUGGCAUCUGACCUCCUUCUGGACCUGACGGUUCUUUGUGAUUUCAGUUCUCUACCUCAUGGCCCAGGAAAGUUCUGCUAAUCUUCCAGGGGCCACCUCCUCUGGGAAUCUCGCCUGGCCCUCCCAGUAUGAGUGUUCAAAACACACACUUGGGCCCUAUUAUAAUUGGUCAGAGGUAAUGAUCUGGCCCUACGUACUUGGGUUCUCUAAGGGCAGGGCCUGGGCCUUCUUCCCUUCUUUUUUGGAAAUCUGCACAG
rnacentral:lncRNA from 1 species